rnacentral:rRNA from 1 species
UACGGGGGGUGCAAGCGUUAUUCGGAAUCAUUGGGCGUAAAGGGCGCGUAGGCGGUCUCUUAUGUCAGAUGUGAAAGCCCUCGGCUCAACCGAGGAAGUGCAUUUGAAACUGAGAGACUUGAGUAUGGGAGAGGGAAGCGGAAUUCCUGGUGUAGCGGUGAAAUGCGUAGAUAUCAGGAGGAACACCGGUGGCGAAGGCGGCUUCCUGGACCAAUACUGACGAUGAGGCGCGAAGGCGUGGGGAGCAAACUGG